UACGUAGGGUGCGAGCGUUGUCCGGAAUUAUUGGGCGUAAAGGGCUCGUAGGCGGUUUGUCGCGUCGGGAGUGAAAUCCACUGGCUUAACUGGUGGCUUGCUUUCGAUACGGGCAGACUGGAGGUAUGCAGGGGAGAACGGAAUUCCUGGUGUAGCGGUGAAAUGCGUAGAUAUCGGGAGGAACACCAGUGGCGAAGGCGACUUCCUGGCCUGUUCUUGACGCUGAGGCGCGAAAGCUAGGGGAGCAAACGGGG
rnacentral:rRNA from 1 species